ACUCCUACGGGAGGCAGCAGUGGGGAAUAUUGGACAAUGGGGGAAACCCUGAUCCAGCAAUGCCGCGUGAGUGAUGAAGGCCUUCGGGUUGUAAAGCUCUUUUAUCAGGGAAGAUGAUGACGGUACCUGAUGAAUAAGCUCCGGCUAACUUCGUGCCAGCAGCCGCGGUAAUACGAAGGGAGCUAGCGUUGUUCGGAAUUACUGGGCGUAAAGGGCGCGUAGGCGGUACUAUAAGUUAGAUGUGAAAGCCCCGGGCUUAACCUGGGAACUGCAUUUAAUACUGUAGAACUAGAGGACGAGAGAGGAAAGUGGAAUUAUGAGUGUAGAGGUGAAAUUCGUAGAUAUUCAUAAGAACACCAGUGGCGAAGGCGACUUUCUGGCUCGUAUCUGACGCUAAGGCGCGAAAGCGUGGGGAGCAAACAGGAUUAGAUACCCUGGUAGUC
rnacentral:rRNA from 1 species